CCUACGGGAGGCAGCAGUAAGGAAUAUUGGACAAUGCUCGCAAGAGUGAUCCAGCCAUGCCGCGUGCAGGAAGAAUGCCCUAUGGGUAGUAAACUGCUUUUGAACUAGAGAAAAUCCCAGUACGUGUACUGGGCUGAUAGUAUAGUUAGAAUAAGCAUCGGCUAACUUCGUGCCAGCAGCCGCGGUAAGACGAAGGAUGCAAGCGUUAUCCGGAUUCAUUGGGUUUAAAGGGAGCGUAGGUGGACUGAUAAGUCAGUGGUGAAAUCUCCGAGCUUAACUCGGAAAUUGCCAUUGAUACUGUUGGUCUUGAGUACAGUUGCUGUGGGCGGAAUAUGACAUGUAGUGGUGAAAUACAUAGAGAUGUCAUAGAACACCGAUUGCGAAGGCAGCUCACAAAGCUGUAACUGACACUGAGGCUCGAAAGUGCGGGGAUCAAACAGGAUUAGAUACCCUGGUAGUCCGCACCGUAAACGAUGAUUACUCGCUGCUAGGGGGCAACCUUUAGUGGCUUAGNGAAGAGAGAAGUAAUACACCGNGGAGGACGCCGGCGACGAGAACGACAAGAGAGUUAGAGGCGNGGAGAGNGCGACGGACGACGACGAGGGGAGGAGG
rnacentral:rRNA from 1 species